CCUACGGGAGGCAGCAGUGGGGAAUAUUGCACAAUGGGGGAAACCCUGAUGCAGCGACGCCGCGUGAGUGAAGAAGUAAUUCGGUAUGUAAAGCUCUAUUAGCAGGGAAGAAAAUGACGGUACCUGAGUAAGAAGCCCCGGCUAACUACGUGCCAGCAGCCGCGGUUAUACGUAGGGGGCAAGCGUUAUCCGGAUUUACUGGGUGUAAAGGGAGCGUAGACGGCAGUGCAAGACUGGAGUGAAAGGCGGGGGCUCAACCCCCGGACUGCUGUGGAAACUGUACAGCUGGAGUGCCGGAGAGGUAAGUGGAAUUCCUAGUGUAGCGGUGAAAUGCGUAGAUAUUAGGAGGAACACCAGUGGCGAAGGCAGCUUACUGGACUGGUACUGACGUUGAGGCUCGAAAGCGUGGGGAGCAAACAGGAUUAGAUACCCUUGUAGUC
rnacentral:rRNA from 1 species